AGGAGAAAAGCAUGCCAGUAUUCAUUUGCAUGUUUCAAAUAUUAAACCAUACACGUCUUAGUACAAGCUGAAUUAAAGUGAAUCCACGAUGGUUCACUAAAUCAGUUAUGGUUCCUCAAAUCGUACCCAAACCUUCUUGGACAACUGUGGUGAUUUUAGAACUAUUUCAUACAAACGAAAUUCCUCUCAGGAACGGAAUGAAUGCUUUUACUAGAUCAAAACUAAUCCAUGGACGUCUCGCUGUCUGUCCGUCGUUUGUUUUUGUGACUCUGAAUAACGUUAUGCCGAUCGCAUGAUCAUCCAGCACUGGGGAAGUAUCUUCUAUAUGCCUGCAUUACCAAUGGUCACUGGUAUAUUCUGCCCCUACCAUUGUUGUAACGGUAACGGGUAAUUAGGUUUCGAUUCCGGGGAGGGAGCCUGAGAAGCAGCUACCACAAGGAAGACUGCAGGCGCACCAAUUACCCAACCCCUACACGGGGAUACAGUGAUAAAAGGUAACGUUACGUAAUUUAUCCGAGGUCUCAUAAUUGGAAUGAGUUCACUUUAAAUAAUUGUACGAGGACCAAUUGGAGGGCAAGUCUGGUUCUAUCGGCCGCCGUAGUUCCAGUUCCGCUAUCAUAUAUUAAAGUUGUUGAGUGUCAAAAGCUCGUAGUAGGAUCUGUGUGUCACAGUUUCGGUUCACCUCUCACGGUGUUUAUCUGGCAUUAUGUGAUUCUUCCUCUCGGUGAGUUAAGCUCCUUGCGGACAGUCCAACUCAUCUCUCAUUGCGGUGUUUAUCCCUGAAUGUCGAGGUGGGUCAAUAUGUUUAAUUGGAAUAUAUUAUAGAGCUUUGUGGAGGCUACAUUCGCUAGACUACUUCGUGAGUGAUAUAAUGGAAUCGGAAUUCGGAUUCAUUUUGUUGGUACGCGGAGACACGAGGUAACGAUUAAUAGGGACGGGUCAUUCGUAUUGCGUAGUUACAGGUAACAUUCCUUGGUCGUCGCGAGACGGAUAGAAGCGAAAGCAUUUGCCAAAAAUGUUUUCAUUAAUUAAGAACUAAAGUUAGAGUUUCGUAGACGAAAAGAUUCCACUCUAAUUCCAAUAAUAAGCGAUGCCAGGCAGCAAAACAACGAAUUUCUUUAGAUGACUCAGCGGGCAGCUACUGGGUGUACCGCUUUUGUAAAGCUUUUGUGGAAAUAUGGAUGCAAAGCUGAAACAUAAAGGAAUUGACCGAAGGAUACAGCCAUGGGUGGAGUCUGUGGCUAAAUUUGACUGAACACGGAAAACGUCUACAUGCUCGGACCGGGAGGAUUGACAAAUCGACAGAUUGAUAGCUCUUUUUUGAUACUGUUAAGACAGUUAAUUUAGUAACACUUAGUGAAAACUUAGUUAAGACAGUUAGUUUAGUUAAGACACUUAAUUUAGGUGAGCUUGCGGAAUGAUCAUUUACGAAUGAACAGAGCAAAGUUUAGCAAAACGCAUUACGUCCAAACUAAAUGAAUUGACUGAAAAAAGAAGCAAAGUAUUCAAAACAUUAAACCAGAAUUUGUCGAAAAGUCGCAGACCAUGAAAAUGACGGUUACCAUGUGGAGUUCCGAGAUCUCCCGUCCGUUGUUCUACUGGCAACUCGAACUGUUGAAGACCACGAAUCUACGGCUAAGUACAAGAGGUCCGAGAUUUCCCGUCCUUUGCUCCACUGGCAACUCAGACUGAGGAAGACCACGGAAUUGUCCGCUAACUAUCGGAGGUACAAGACGUCCACUCCGUUGUUCUAUUGGCAAACGUUGGAAAGGAGAGUAA
rnacentral:rRNA from 1 species